UCCCGAGUAGCUCAGUGGUAGAGCGACCGGCUGUUAACCGGUUGGCCGUAGGUUCGAAUCCUACCUCGGGAGCCA
rnacentral:tRNA from 2 species